rnacentral:lncRNA from 1 species
UUUGGUUAAAAUGGAAACUCUAUUGAGGCUGAUCUUUAAGUUUGUGGUAUUACUUGUUGCUAUUGCAGGUAUUUUUGUUGGCAAUGUACAAGGUGGUAGUGGUGGUUAUAAAGAUUGUUGUAAGCCUUGGUGGCCAUGUGACCCAAUCGUCUGUCAUAGGCUUCCAUGUUGCAAUCCACCUAAAACUAUGUAGCACAUUUGAUAACUGCUAUACCAAUA